rnacentral:rRNA from 1 species
AAGGGACGGCUAACUACGUGCCAGCAGCCGCGGUAAUACGUAGGUCCCGAGCGUUGUCCGGAUUUAUUGGGCGUAAAGCGAGCGCAGGUGGUUUAUUAAGUCUGGUGUAAAAGGCAGUGGCUCAACCAUUGUAUGCAUUGGAAACUGGUAGACUUGAGUGCAGGAGAGGAGAGUGGAAUUCCAUGUGUAGCGGUGAAAUGCGUAGAUAUAUGGAGGAACACCGGUGGCGAAAGCGGCUCUCUGGCCUGUAACUGACACUGAGGCUCGAAAGCGUGGGGAGCAAACAGGAUUAGAUACCCUGGUAGUCACGCCGUAAACGAUGAGUGCUAGAUGUAGGGAGCUAUAAGUUCUCU